rnacentral:tRNA from 1 species
CAACUAAUAGUAUUAUUAUAUGUUAAAUUUAGAAUUUAAAGAUGAUUGUUCUUAGUUG